rnacentral:rRNA from 1 species
UGCCAGACUCCUACGGGAGGCAGCAGUGGGGGAUAUUGCACAAUGGGGGGAACCCUGAUGCAGCGACGCCGCGUGAGUGAAGAAGUACUUCGUUAUGUAAAGCUCUAUCAGCAGGAACGAGACAAGACGGUACCUGACUAAGAAGCCCCGGCUAACUACGUGCCAGCAGCCGCGGUAAUACGUAGGGGGCAAGCGUUAUCCGGAAUCACUGGGUGUAAAGGGAGCGUAGACGGCUGAGCAAGCCUGAAGUGAAAGGCGGGGGCCCAACCCCCGGACUGCUUUGGGAACUGUACGGCUGGAGUGCAGGAGAGGUAAGUGGAAUUCCUAGUGUAGCGGUGAAAUGCGUAGAUAUUAGGAGGAACACCAGUGGCGAAGGCGGCUUACUGGACUGUAACUGACGUUGAGGCUCGAAAGCGUGGGGAGCAAACAGGAUUAGAUACCCGCGUA